rnacentral:lncRNA from 1 species
GUUUACAGAUCUCUGUGUAUUUCCACAUCAUCUUUCUUCUGUUCAUGUCUGUGUCUAGUCUAAAUGUCUUCAUAUAAGAAAACCUAUACACAACACAACCUUACACACAUACCCCUCAGACAAUUCUUAGUAUUUUUAUAAAUCCAUAUGAAAUAUUUUUUUCUUACCAGUACAUUAUCAGUGUCAAUUCUUCUGACCAUAGUAGUGAAUACUGAAAGAUGGGGCUCUUCACAGGUCCAUUGGCCUGUCUAUAAUUCUUAGGAUGACCAUUUCCCCUUAUUUGAAAUUUGAAAGAGAUUCUAGCUCAUACAUUUUCAGGGAAAAUCUCCGAGCUUUUUCUGGGUGGUAAGAUUAUAAGUGAUAUAUUGCCUUUAUUCCUUCCUCAAAUAUUUACUGAAUAUUGGGUACUGUGCUAGGGAGGCUCUGGGUGGGUAACAGGAACAAGGUAGGUUCUCUUCUGGCAGAGCUAAGGAAAUACAAAAUGUGUUUUGCUACAGUAGUACUAAAGCUGUGUCAAGGCAAUAAUUUGCUCUUAUGACUGGCAUGAAGCCCUGGUCAGCAGCUCAAGACUUACACUCCCCUACUACAAUUUUCUCCAUUGUCAAUAAUGUUCCACAAGGCAUAAAAUAAGAUACUUCUUGUUAUGACUACCACUUGGGUCCUUUUAACACUGUCUUUGUGAUAGUCUGUGAGCUUUGCUGCCACGGCCUGAAUCAAAACUCUUUAGAGAGCUGCCCUUCCUCUAUGCAGCUUUACCCAUUUGCAGGUAAGGAGAGCAAGAGCAGGUGGGGGACUUUAUCUCUGUACUGCCUCCCUCAGGCCUUAGCUAAUCAAUAUAGGGUCUGUUUGUAAAUGUGACCUCACAUUUGAAAUCAAGUAGCUGGUGGUAUAGAAUCUGAAGACAUUUUGACAUAAAGGUCAAAAUAAAGAUUUGUCUUAAAGAGCUUUUGUUUAAUGGAGUGGAUUAUAACUCAAUAAACAGAAAACUUAAACUGUAGCAGAUCAAAAACAAAGGAUAUAGUUCUAGAAUUCAGUCUCCUCUACUCUCAAUGUCUUAUAGAAAGCAGACUAGGAAAGCUGCUACUAUGAGCCAUUAAUUAGAUUUGUUUUUAUUACUACUAUUUUUAAAUUUGGGGUGUGUGCGUGUGUGUGUGUGUUUUGUGCUACAUGCAGUUAGUUACAGGCAGCUAUAGGCUGGGAAUGGAGCUUGGGUUCUC